AGAGAGAGUGUGUUGGCGAGAGGAUAAGAUAAACAAGGAGGGAGAGGCCUCGCACAGGAGGAGAAAAGAAAGAGAGAGAGAGAGACAGAGCACACCGAAGUAAGGGAGAGUUUGUUGAGCAGAGUGACGCUUCAAGGAAAAUCACAAAUUCGACGGCCAUAGAGUCAAAAUCAGCCGAAACCCCCAACUGGAGAGUGACAGUAGACUCAAAGAGCUUUCCAUCCGUAGAUAAUUCACUCCGUACAGAUAUCAGGAGGUCGGUCAAAAGGAGUCCGAAACACCGUUUUUCGGAAUGCCCGCCGGUGAAAGGAUCAGCUGAUACCCUCUAGGAAAGAGCCAAAUUCGGGCCACCUAAUCUUCCACACUGAAACGACUGUCAGCUUACAUAACUAAAGGCCGUGUCGUCAUUGCCUAGGCGGAGAAAUUAAGAAACACGUAAUUCGGAGUGGGCCAAGCCAACAAGCUUGACGUUGAUUGGAGGGUGAGGUCCGAAAGAAGCUGACUCCACCUGUUUGUGAGCAGAAUCCGAGGCUGUAAGGACACGAGUACUUGAUGUGGACAUUUUGGGGAGAAAUUAAUGUACUCGUUAUUCGGAGUGGACCAAGCCAACAAGCAUUUACAGAAAAGCAUCCUAAAAGCACGUUUCGUUUCAACUUCCUACCUCAGAUCCUCAUGGACAGAGGGCAGAGUUUGAGAGAGAUAAAGAGAGAAGAGGAAGAGAGCACCGAGGGAGCAUCCACUUCUUCAUUCAUC